rnacentral:lncRNA from 1 species
UUGUCAUUUGUGACACCCAGCCAAAGUCUGCCAUGUAAACUCUACGAUGAAAUUGCUUGUCUUCUGGGGUUGAGAUAGGCCUUAUAGCAACCAACAUAUACAGCUCCAUUACUCUAGGAGAGUCCCACCACGUAAAGGGGUAGUUGAACUCUGGCCAAGUUACUUACAAAUAUAUUGUAGUUGCUUACUCUUUUGUAAAGACACAUCAAAUCAUGUCGUUUCAAAUCCAAAAUUUGAAAUGAAAUACAUGUUCUCAAAUGCAAUCUAAAGGAAAUCCAUUGAUCGUUUACAACUAUAAAUUGUUGCUGUUAAUAAGGAUUCCGCGUCCUGUUUAAUAUAGAAGAUUUUGCAUCUUUCCAUUUACUUGCCAGUUCUGGAACAUUAGUACAUAUUCUUUAGGUUUCGACGAGGGUUAAAUUACCUGAGGCCUCCAAGUCUGUCCGUCUCUUUGCCUUCGCAAGUCAGAAAAGUAUAAAAUCCGUUUCUCAGGUAAACCUGAAUUUGAAUAGGCCGCAGUAGUUAGUAGAAGAGAUAAUGUUGUAAAAUGGUGGAUGCCUACUUUACAACAGAAGUGUUUGACUGCCGAUUUGACUGGUCUUCUUGUGUAAAGUUUAUAAUCAUGCUUUUGUUACACUAAUACUAAAGAAUUCAGAUUAUCUAUAUUUGUAUUUGUAUAUGAUGUAUACUGCAGAGUGCAGAGCACUCUCAGAGUAUUGUAUCUUGUUAAUUGUUGGGUGAUGUACCAUUAGUUUUGUCUGGUCCUUAACUAGCAUCUUUAAUUAUUUGCAUUCUCUUUUUUAUUAGUCCUUGUGUCGAUCACAUAUAAUACUGUUCUAGUCAAUAUUUGCUGUACCA